AAAGACUUAGGAUAAUAAGACCAAGGGCCUUCAAAGCCUUUAGCAGAAGUUAAAGCCUUCUAGUCUUUG
rnacentral:tRNA from 1 species